ensembl:snRNA U2 U2 spliceosomal RNA
AUUUCUCGGUCUUUUGGCUAAGAUCAAGUGUAGUAUCUGUUCUUGUAUAUUUCCCCGAAGCGGGAUCAAUAAAGGAUCUAUCUAUCUAUCUAUCUAUCUAUC